AAAAAUUUAGUUAAAUUUAUAACAUUAGUUUGUCAAACUAAAGUUACUUCAUUAUCAGUAAUUUUUA
rnacentral:tRNA from 1 species